rnacentral:rRNA from 1 species
ACGUAGGAGGCAAGCGUUGUCCGGAAUUACUGGGCGUAAAGAGCUCGUAGGCGGUUUGUUGCGUCGGCUGUGAAAUCCCGAGGCUCAACCUCGGGUCUGCAGUCGAUACGAGCAAACUAGAGUGUUGCAGGGGAGACUGGAAUUCCUGGUGUAGCGGUGAAAUGCGCAGAUAUCAGGAGGAACACCGAUGGCGAAGGCAGGUCUCUGGGCAUUAACUGACGCUGAGGAGCGAAAGCAUGGGGAGCGAACAGGA